UACGUAGGGGGCGAGCGUUGUCCGGAUUUAUUGGGCGUAAAGAGCUCGUAGGCGGCUUGGCAAGUCGGGUGUGAAACCUCCAGGCUCAACCUGGAGACGCCACUCGAUACUGCCAUGGCUAGAGUCCGGUAGGGGACCACGGAAUUCCAGGUGUAGCGGUGAAAUGCGUAGAUAUCUGGAGGAACACCGGUGGCGAAGGCGGCGUUCUGGACUGUCUCUGACACUGAAGAACGAAAGCCAGGGGAGCAAACGGG
rnacentral:rRNA from 1 species